rnacentral:rRNA from 1 species
CGUCAUCCCCACCUUCCUCACAUCUUACGACGGCAGUCUCUCUAGAGUCCUCAGCAUGACCUGUUAGUAACUAAAGAUAAGGGUUGCGCUCGUUAUGGCACUUAAGCCGACACCUCACGGCACGAGCUGACGACAACCAUGCAGCACCUUCACAAUUGCCUUACGGCUAUACUGUUUCCAGUAUAUUCAAAUGCAAUUUAAGCCCGGGUAAGGUUCCUCGCGUAUCAUCGAAUUAAACCACAUGUUCCUCCGCUUGUGCGGGCCCCCGUCAAUUCCUUUGAGUUUCACCGUUGCCGGCGUACUCCCCAGGUGGAAUACUUAAUGCUUUCGCUUGGCCGCUUACUGUAUAUCGCAAACAGCGAGUAUUCAUCGUUUACUGUGUGGACUACCAGGGUAUCUAAUCCUGUUUGAUACCCACACUUUCGAGCAUCAGUGUCAGUUGCAGUCCAGUGAGCUGCCUUCGCAAUCGGAGUUCUUCGUGAUAUCUAAGCAUUUCACCGCUACACCACGAAUUCCGCCCACCUCUACUGUACUCAAGACAGCCAGUAUCAACUGCAAUUUUACGGUUGAGCCGCAAACUUUCACAACUGACUUAACUGUCCACCUACGCUCCCUUUAAACCCAAUAAAUCCGGAUAACGCUCGGAUCCUCCGUAUUACCGCGGCUGCUGGCACGGAGUUAGCCGAUCCUUAUUCAUAUGGUACAUACAAAAUUCCACACGUGGAAAACUUUAUUCCCAUAUAAAAGAAGUUUACAACCCAUAGGGCAGUCAUCCUUCACGCUACUUGGCUGGUUCAGGCCCGCGCCCAUUGACCAAUAUUCCUCACUGCUGCCUCCCGUANGAGUUUGGACCGUGUCUCANUUCCNAUGUGGGGGACCUUCCUCUCANAACCCCUAUCCAUCGAAGGUUUGGUGAGCCGUUACCUCACCAACUGCCUAAUGGAACGCAUCCCCAUCGAUAACCGAAAUUCUUUAAUAACAAAACCAUGCGGUCUAAUUAUGCCAUCNGGUAUUAAUCUUUCUUUCGAAAGGCUAUCCCCGAGUUAUCGGCAGGUUGGAUACGUGUUACUCACCCGUGCGCCGGUCGCCAUCUCCNGU